rnacentral:lncRNA from 1 species
AGGAUAUAUAUCAAUGUAUUUAUUGAUGGUGGCUGACCACGGUUGAAUCUUCUUUGAAUUUCAGCUGUUGCGUUUAUUUUCAAGAAAUUGAAACUUUCAUAUCCUGUCCAGAACAAAAGAUCAGAAUUCAUCCAUUUCAUCUUUGCAGUGAAUUGAACUAUCCCUCACAGACAGAGGCUACAGCUUGGCCUUCCCAGUUUCUCAGGCAUAGAAGUUUCCAUGGUAACCUCCUGAGUGGAGGUAAAACCAUAGUGGAAAUCAGCGUUCAGCCAAGGAGCUGCCAGUGUCCAGGAAAACUGCUCAGGACCAGGUUACAAAACAUUCUGGCAUGACCUCGUGUAGCACCUCAAGUAUGCUGUGAUAAGACACUGGCUGUGAGUGUCCUGAGGCUGCCCUGCCCUGCCUACACCAUCAGCCCUGGAGGAUUUGCUGCUGUGGCAGUGAGGGGAGCAGAAAUAGGGAGAUGAGACCCUCAGCUGGCACUACCACCCCUGCUGAACUGCAGCUUGUCAGCCCAAGACUGGCUUCACUUCAGAGGUAAACACAGGUUCAGAAGUUGUGAUAUAUUAUCUUGCAGCAGUCUGCAACAGGAAUCUAAGCCAGAGAGAAGACAAUUGUCUAGUUUCAGGUGUUUGUAAUCCAGCUAAUAAACUCACUGGAUCAUCUACUCUUUACUGAUAG